UUCAAGGCAUUGGGCAAUCACGAUCUAUCUCGACUAAAAUUGUUUGUGCUGAAGUACGUGCGAGAUCCAAUGCGAUUUCAUCAUUCAUGGAAGAGAUGCAAUUUUACGUGUUACCGAAACUUACCGUUCCGCUACCGACGGCUUAUAGUAAUAUCUGCGAAUGGAAUCUUCCAGAUCACGAUUCUCUGGCUGAUCCCGCUUUCAAUAAAUCAGGGCCAGUUGAUUUGAUCAUCGGAGCUGAAUAUUAUAUGGAUUUGCUAGAAAGAGAUUGUCAAAAGGCCACCGCAGCAGGCCCUACUUUGCAGAAAACUUUGUUGGGGUGGUUAGUGUCUGGUCGAGUCCCUAAUGAUACUAUCUGUCAAUCUUAUUCUCUUGCACACACAUGUACAACAACGCACAUCGAAGAGCAACUUACCCGAUUUUGGGAGUUAGAAACAUGUCGAAGCAGCAGUAAACAAUCGGUCGAAGAGUCGGAAUGCGAAGAAUUUUUCGAACAAACUACAGUGAGAGACGCACAAGGAAGAUACAUUGUGACUUUACCGAAGAAGGAAUUUGUCCUAAGCAGGCUCGGUGAAUCACGGUCAAGCGCUUUGAAACGUUUCAUGGGACUCGAGCGGCGCUUUGCAACCAAUCCGGUGUUAAAAAAAAUGUACUCUGAAUUUAUCAAUGAAUAUAUAGAUCUUGCUCAUAUGAAGGAGAUAACCAUAGAAGAAGAGGAUGAAAUGAAGCCCACAACAUACUACCUUCCCCAUCACGCUGUUUUGAAGCCUGAAAGUACUACCACAAAACUUCGAGUGGUCUUUGAUGCUUCCUGUCGCACUUCUACGGGUAUUUCUUUAAACGAUGGAUUGAUGGUUGGGCCUGUUGUCCAAGAAGACCUUCUCAGCAUUUCUCUACGUUUUCGUACGCAUCGCCUAGCAAUUGUAGCAGAUAUCGCUAAGAUGUAUCGCAUGGUACGCGUUUGUGCAGCUGACCAACCUUUACAACGGAUUGUCUGGAGAGAUUCGAACGACGUGCCCAUCCGAAUUUUUGAACUUACCACUGUUACAUAUGGCACUGCUUCUGCACCAUAUCUCGCCACGAAAUGCCUGCAACAGUUAGCUAAAGAAGGAACCAAAACACAUACUGCUGCUGCUAAAGUACUUAAAGAAGACUUCUAUGUGGAUGAUAUGAUGUCAGGCGUCAAUACUGUGGAAGAAGGAAAACUGUUGAUAGAGGAGUUGAUUGAUCUUCUACAGUCAGCUGGAUUUUCACUUCGAAAAUGGAACUCAAACAGUGAAGAGUUGAUGCAGAAUGUGCCAGAAUACCUCAGAGAUGAACGAACCAUGUUGGAAAUAGAUUCGUCCAGUGCGACCAUUAAAACGCUAGGACUAGUUUGGGAACCAAAUACCGACAGUUUUCGAUUUAGCACACCAAAAUGGGAAAACGACACUCCCAUCACUAAAAGAAUGAUUCUUUCCGACGCUUCUCGAAUAUUUGACCCCUUGGGUAUCGUUGGCCCGGUUGUCAUUCAAGCGAAACUAUUCAUCCAAAAUUUAUGGAAACUUCAGUGCUCAUGGGACGAUCCAAUUUCUCAUGAAAUGCAAGAAUAUUGGCUAGAAUAUCGACGCAAUUUGGCAGCAUUAGACGAUAUUUUAGUGCCUCGAUGGAUCGGUGUCGGCGGAGGAACUGACUACGUGGAAUUUCACGGGUUUUGUGACGCUUCUGAAAAGGCUUAUGGUGCAUGUAUUUACCUGAGAACAGUAACAAAGAGUGGGGCGAUUGUAGUGCGAUUGGUGACCUCUAAAUCACGGGUCGAUCCUCUCGACAAUCCAAAAAAGAAAAAGAAACGUCAAACCAUUCCACGACUGGAGUUAUCAUCCGCUUUGCUACUCGCUCACUUGUACGAAAAGGUUAUGCAGGGUUUGCGGAUUCCCGGGAAGCUGUUCCUUUGGACUGAUUCAAUGAUCGUCAAAUGUUGGCUGUCCUCGUUGCCAUCCAGGUGGAAGCAGUUUGUGGCAAACAGAGUAUCUGAAAUUCAGCAUAUCACGAGACAUGGUGUUUGGAAACAUGUUGCAGGAGUUGAAAAUCCGGCAGAUGUAAUCUCUCGUGGUAUGACCCCUGCACAACUCAAGUAUCAAACAAUGUGGUUCAACGGACCCCAAUGGCUUUUAUUGGAUGAAGCUCAGUGGCCCAGAACACAAGCAACUAUUGAGUCGGAACUUGAUGUAACAGAGUUGGAAGAGAGCUGCGUUACGGUAACUCUUCAGAGCACUCCUCCCAGUGAAUUUUUCGGAUUAAGAUCGUCGUUCACGGAACUGAUACGGCUCGCAGCGAUAGUGAAACGCUUUCAAUUCAACGCUCGAAAGACAAACCGCAAUUGUAGACGACUCGGAUUGCUGACAACUACCGACCUCAAUGAAGCUCUCGUAACUUUAGUGAAGCUUGCUCAACAAGAAAGUUUUCCCCAGGAACUUGCUGACUUGACAAAACGGGGCUGUGUUCAGGAUUCAUCAAGAAUACAAUCCCUCAACCCGAUCAUUAUAGAAGGCGUCCUCUGUGUUGGAGGACGUUUACGAAAUGCUAGUAUUUCUGCGAGUCGUAAGCAUCCUUAUAUUUUAGAUCCACAACAUCCGUUGACAAAAAUCAUUGUGGUACAUUAUCAUCGAAAGCUGUUUCAUGCCGGGCAACAACUAUUGAUAUCAAUGACGCGUGAGCGAUUUUGGCCAAUUUACAUCAGAAGCCUUGUACGGAAGGUAAUUCAUGAGUGCGUUCCUUGCUUUCGUGCAAAACCCAAGGCACUAGAUCAAAUUAUGGCCGAUAUUCCUUCUGAAAGAGUAACUCCAUGCACGGCAUUCAGAAGAGUUGGGAUUGAUUACUGUGGUCCAUUCUUAAUAACCUACCCGUAUCGCCGUUGUCAGCCAGUAAAAUGCUUCGUCGCUGUUUUCAUUUGUUUAGUCACUAAGGCAAUCCAUUUGGAGAUAGUAGUUGAUCUAAAACCCAGGCAUUUGUGUCAUCCUUAAGACGGUUUUCGUCUCGGCGCGGUAAGCCAAAUUUAAUCAUGUGCGACAACGCAAAGAAUUUUGUUGGGGCGAAACGAGAGUUAGACGAACUCCGUACAUUAUUCUGCAACCAAAAAUUUCAAUUCAAUGUUGUAAAAGAAUCAGCAGAUGACGCUAUAGAAUUUCAAUUCAUUCCGGCGCGUUCACCAAAUUUUGAAGGACUGUGGGAAUCUGCAGUGAAAUCGUUCAAGACCUUAUUCAAACGAACCAUUGGCUUGCAUGUUCUCGUAUAUGAUCAAAUGCAAACGGUCGUAGUUCAAAUUGAGGCAAUUUUGAACUCUCGACCGCUCAAUCCUAUCAGCAACGAUGCAGAUGACUAUGAAGCGUUGACACCAGGGCAUUUUUUGAUUCAACGACCGCUAACUUUAAUUCCUGAACCCGAUUUAGCAGAGAUUCCCGAAAAUAGAUUGUCAGUGUGGCAGAGAUCACAAGCUCUCAUGCAGGUGAUAUGGAAAAGGUGGUCAACACAAUACUUAUAGAAUCUGCAUAAUUGGACGAAAUGGACGCGUCGAAGAGAUAAUAUUCAAGAGGGCACUAUGGUUGUUAUCAAGGAGGAAAAUCUUCCACCGUUGAAAUGGUUGUUAGCAAGAGUAACAGAAAUUCGAAGGGGACCUGAUGGAAACGUACGAGUUGUCAAGGUAAAAACAAAGGACGGUAGUUAUACUAGAGCAAUUUCCAAAAUUUGCGUGCUGCCGAUUCGUGACAAUUUUUCAUCUAAAGAGGAGACAGCGGCUCCUCCAACGGCGGAGGCAAAUAAGCCUCCGCAGUCCAGUUAAGUUAAGUGUUUUUUAAUAAUUCAAAAAGUUAAUGUAAUGUUUUGUCUCAGUCAUAUCUCAUCUCGGCUUGGGAGCUUCGGAUACAACUAAUGCUUCCGCACUGCACAUCGACUUACGACACUUCGUUUGAAGCAAUGUUACAUGCCUUCAUCGACUGAACCGAAGGAAGCAUAUCACACGCAUCACACUCAGCAACACGUCAGCACAUCCAGUAAACCCGACACGGAUUAACAACGCCGAGGGGCGUGUGUGGAGGCCAUGGGGCUUCCUCUCCAGAGAACGAAAACCAUCAUCAAGAGGGAUUGAGAAUUCUGCAGUUGAUAAUGUGAACACACCGGCAUCGCAACAUUAGUAUACUGGAAGGCACAUGAAGGGAGAACGUCACCGAUCAACAAUUUACAACAUGAAAUACAGUCCACUUAACCAAAUUACCUCUAGCUAACGCAAUUAAAAUAGUUUGAGUAGGAGACAUUUAAAUUUGUAAUCUAUAAGAUUCCAAGGCGGCCGACUUAUGUUUUAACAAAAAUAUCGAAUAGUGUAGGAAUUAUGAACAUCUCUAAUUUAAUCCAGAAGAUAACAAAUCUCCCAUGUUGUGAUAAAGUGAGAGCCAACUUCAUCCGUUAAGAGCAAUUAUAUGUAGAGAAUUAGUAGGUAAUCAGUUCGAAAUACACUGGCAUGCAGUACGCACGUAUCAAUCUCGAUUCCACUCACACUUUAUUUUGCAAUUUAACCAAGGUGUUGAACUAAAGUAAUUACGCGCGCAAACAAACAGCAUACCAAGCUUUAGGUUAAGAAAGGGUACUUCUCACUCUAAUUCGAAUAGGAGUGAACGAGCUCCGCUGUAUGUUGCAAAGUUGCCAGCCAAUUACUAGUUAAGUUGGCGCGAAAUGCGUUCCUGAUUUUUGCGUCGAUACCGAUGCUAAUAUCAUGCUUUAUGGCCUUUCAAAUAUUUAUAGUAAUUAUGUCAGGUAAAAUUAGGCUCCUAUUUGAAUGUAACGUAUCUAGUAAAACAUCUCGAUUGGAAGAAUAAAAAUGUGCAUUGUGUGAUUUAUGUUAUGGAAACGUUCACUUCUUUUAAACUGAGAGAUGUUACAUUAACUUAACUUGACACUAACAGACUUGACUUAAAUGCGAUACAACUAUGAGAACAUUCGCAACAUGCAACAACCGAAUGCAACUUUUUUUUUAGUAAGCUUAGCAGUUUCACUGCAAACUUUGAGAGCGACUCAUCCGAUAGAUUGAAUUAAUUUCAUUUAAUUUAUUCGAAACACAUCCCUUGGAUUUGAAAAUUAGCAACUAAUAAGUUGGUUUCACAGACGCCAUAUAUUUAAAUCGAAGGGGAACAUAAUCAACGAUACGGCAAACAAACCAAAGAGAAACUAAAUAUAAACACACACACAAUUGACAAUACAAAUAGAUUGAUAAGAAUUAGAGUGACUAUUUAAAAAACAGUCAGGCAGUGAUAGCCGAUACAGAAUCAUUCGCGAAAUGGAGCCGAAACUACCAGCCACUUUUGUGAAAGGUUUCCACGAUGAGGCCGGCAUCAAUAGGAUGAAAUAUAAUCCAUUCGGUAAAACCGACCUAGUUGUAUCGGAAAUAUCACUCGGAACAGCAACGUUGAGUAAGCUUUUCGGCAACUUGGGUGAAACUGACGGAGUCAAAGCGGUGCAUUUGGCACUGAAAAGUGGUAUCAACUACAUUGACACUGCUCCGUACUAUGGCCAAGGUCGCUCUGAAGAAAUUCUUGGUGUCGCUCUUAAGGAUAUUCCGCGUCAGACUUACUAUAUAGCAACAAAAGUGGGUCGCUACGAGUUUGACUACAAACAUAUGUUUGACUAUAGCGCGAAAAAAACGUGCGAAAGUGUCGAGAAAAGCUUGAAACUACUUGGUGUAAAACGCUUAGAUGUUGUUCAGAUACAUGAUAUAGAAUUUGCGUCUAACUUGAACGUAAUAAUCAACGAAACAUUACCCGCUCUGGAGCAACUGAGAGCAGAAGGUAAGCUUCGUUACAUCGGAAUAUCAGCCUACCCGAUCGACGUUCUAAAGGAAGCGAUUUCGCGAGCACCCGGACGUUUUGAUACUGUGUUGUCCUACUCUCGAAACACGUUGAUCGAUGACACGCUGAGCCACUUCUUUCCGUUUUUCUAAGAACACAACUUGGCGGUGAUCUGUGCUGCUGGUCACAGUAUGGGCUUGUUCACGAACUCAGGACCUCCAGCAUGGCAUCCGGCUCAAGAACAAACGAAGACGGUUCGCCGAGAAGCCAGCAACUAUUGUCGUGAAAAUGGUGUCGAACUGGGAAAGUUAGCCAUGUACCAUUUUAUACAGAUGAAGGGUCCAGCAACGUUUUUGUGUGGGAUGCAAACUGAAUCUUUGGUUGCAAUGAAUUUGGAUGCUUUCUUCAAUGGAUUGAAUGACAAGGAGCGGAGUGUGUUGGAAUAUCUGAACAAGAAGUAUUCGAUCUAGCUUUCUAUUGAUAAAAAUGAAACUAUCUUUUGUGUUUUGCCUUUUCAACGUUUUCAAAAAAGUUGAACACUCGAACUGGGAAGGAAUCGAGCUACAAAGAUACAAGGAUGCAAUGCAGAAAACUGACGGGUAACUGGUUCCAGUUUUCGGUGGUAAUAAAAUUUAGUUGUUAAUGUUCGAUUUCAUUCAUGAAAUAAAUUAAAUAAAAUUAUCCAUGAAUCAGCUUAAACUAGUUGUUCUAACAAUUGUCAUUUGCAGGGUUAUUCAGUUAUCAAA